AUGGAAGGGCCGCUGAGACUCCCAGGAGGAAGGGGCUGCCGCACCUGCCUGGGUGAAGCCGAGGGAGUAGACAGUGUUUCCUGCAGGCCCUCGUCCGGGGCCCUCCUGCUUCGGGACCUGAGGCCGUCUCCAGCCCCGCCCGAGCCCCGUGAGCAGCCCGGCCACAGGGCUGGGGCAGCUGCAGUGCUGACCUCCCCUCCCAGCGCCAGGCCCAGGCCCCGGGCCUGGAUGAGGGCGCGCGUCUGCUCCUUCGCACAAGCAGGGUCCCGUCCGGGGCCCGCGCGCGGCCCGGGCCGACCUGGCCUCUGCAGAAACCUGCCUUGCGGGGUAGCCCUGAGUGUUAACCACGGGGACAGGAGGAAAAAGAGCACACAAGGCCAGAACACCACCCGGCUGAGGGCACUGGGCAAGCGCUCGCCUCUCCUUCUCCUGACCCACCCAAGGCCCAGCGGAGGCGUCUGAACCCAGCCCUCACUAACGCCCGGAUCAUGUCUUCUCAUCUGCUGGCUGUGCCCUGGCUCCCUCUAACCCAGGUAACAGGAUCCGGUCCAGCAAAGAUCAAGCUGCCACUGUCUUUGCCGCUUACAGGAUUCCAGUCGUUUCUUGAGUCAUGGCCAAGGAAGAAUUAAUCAAAAAAACCCAAAGUCACUUUGGAAACUUGGGGGAAAGAUUCAGUCUCUCAAAACUUUAGUUUCUUCACACGUAAAACAGAGAUUCCAAUACCUCCUUUGUGAUUAGAAGUAAUCAUAAGCUUAGAGAAUGUGGUACAGAAUAUAUGUCCAGGGAAGUGUUGACAGGAUACCUUCCUGACCCAGAAAGUUGGCAUGCAAAUAAUCAGAAAACACACGUGGCCUCAUCCUCUCCUCCCAAGGAUGUACCUCCCUGUAAGAAACUGAAAGUUGCUCAGUCUCCUUUUGACCCCGUGGACAGUAUAGCCCCAAAGACUCCUCUGUCCAUGGGAUUCUCCAGGCAAGAGUACUGAAGCGGGUUGCCAUUUCCUUCU
rnacentral:lncRNA from 1 species